rnacentral:rRNA from 1 species
UACAGAGGGGGCAAGCGUUAUUCGGAAUUAUUGGGCGUAAAGGGCGCGUAGGCGGCCGCUCAAGUGGAAGGUGAAAUCCCUCGGCUCAACCGGGGAACUGCCUUCCAAACUGAGCAGCUUGUGUCCGGGAGAGGUGAGUGGAAUUCCCAGUGUAGCGGUGAAAUGCGUAGAUAUUGGGAGGAACACCGGUGGCGAAGGCGGCUCACUGGACCGGAACUGACGCUGAGGCGCGAAAGCGUGGGGAGCAAACGGG